rnacentral:ncRNA from 2 species
CUCUUAUCGAGAGUUGGGAGAGGGAAUUGGCCCGUUGACCCCAACAGCAACCGACCGUAAUACCAUUGUGAAAUGGGGCGCAGCAGCAAGCGCCGGGGCUUAUCGCUCCGCAAGGCACGGUGCUAAAUCCGUCAGAAAGCAAAUGCUUUUUGGGAGAUAAGAG